rnacentral:rRNA from 1 species
CCUACGGGAGGCAGCAGUGAGGAAUAUUGGUCAAUGGACGAGAGUCUGAACCAGCCAAGUAGCGUGAAGGAUGACUGCCCUAUGGGUUGUAAACUUCUUUUAUAUGGGAAUAAAAUGUUCCACGUGUGGGAUUUUGUAUGUACCAUAUGAAUAAGGAUCGGCUAACUCCGUGCCAGCCGCCGCGGUAAUACGGAGGAUCCGAGCGUUAUCCGGAUUUAUUGGGUUUAAAGGGAGCGUAGGUGGAUUGUUAAGUCAGUUGUGAAAGUGUGCGGCUCAACCGUAAAAUUGCAGUUGAAACUGGCAGUCUUGAGUACAGUAGAGGUGGGCGGAACUCGUGGUGUAGCGGUGAAAUGCUGAGAUAUAACGAAGAACUCCGAUUGCGAAGGCAGCUCACUGGACUGCAACUGACACUGAGGCUCGAAAGUGUGGGUAUCAAACAGGAUUAGAUACCCGAGUAGUC